AGUACAGUGCUUGCAUAUUAUUGGCAAGUCAAAUUAUCAUUCUCCUUGAGAAAAUAAACAUUCAUAGUGUCAGUCAGUCUGUAAGAAAGACUCCAUUGGUGGGUUGGUGGAGAAUACUUUUUAUAUUGAAAUGUGCACCACUGAGUUUGGUUUCUCAAUACAGAAAUGGUAUAUGAUGCAGGCAACUAAACUAUGGGCUAUACUUUUUAUUAGUUCCUGCCUGCAGGAAACUAUAGCGGAGGCUAUUUUCGCUAACCCCUUAUUAAUUUGAGCCUAAACAACCAAUCAUAUUUAUUUUUGUUGCAAAGAUUUUCAUGUUUCCUUGGUUUUACCCGGAAAAGAUGCAAAUUAUUUAGGCGAAUUUUUAUCCUGAAGUUUUUUGGCAUUGGCAUAUUGGGUACAUUGGCGGUUUGCAGUAGUUUGUAGGGCUUUGUGUGGUUCUCAACAAGAGAGAACGCACACCUCCAGAGGCUGCAGGGCCGUCACUCCAGAGGCUGCAGCAGAGUAGUGACGGUUGCUUCAAACAGAUGGCGAGCCAGAAAAGACCUGCAGACCGAGCGCAAGAAACAAAGCAUGCAAACAUAUGGCUUGUAAGUUUUCAUUUUGGGCAUGCAAAACUACUAUGCGCGGGCAGGUUCUGACUAAGAAAAGGAAUACAUUGUUCUGGGCAAUCUCGAAGAAGAUUAAAGAGGACCACAGAUAUUUUAGCUCACAGUGCCAAAAAACCACUCGGAUGUCUAUGCCACUCUACAACAACUUCUUCCUACAACAACAUCGCCCCUCUUAUAUUCAAGAACAUUGUACGCAAUGGUGCCCGCGGAACACACCUGUUAAAGUCAACGCUGUCAACUUUUGUUGAUGAGCUCAACGAUGACUACAGCAAAAUCUGGCUUCAUCCAACAUUCGGGUCACUGGAACCCUCAAGACUAAAAACGCCCACCUUCCCCCCUACCAGCCCCUCUGUUCCAUCUGCCACCACAUUGUUCAUUCACUUCCCACUGCCACUGACAACUCAACCCAAUGUCUCACUUGCGCCACUUCAACCCCAUUCACCUACGAACCUUACUUGCAAUGCACAAUAGAAACUGCAACUAGUACCAUUGAUUGUAACUUACACACCACACUCUUGCAAGAAAACUUUCCUCAGCUUGCCAAAAUCCCAUUUGAAAAUUACAAGAAAGACAUGUCAACAGUUGUUUUUCUUAUGCGCAAAUUCCAAAUGGAUGCAACAUUCACAAUUGCAAUGAACAAUUCUAUUAUUCACAUUGCUAAGGACGACAAUGAAGGUCUGUGAGACCAGAUUGCCAUAUGAAAGAACAUUUUGCCCAGCCAAAUGCUUUUUUGUCAAGGUCAGAGAAGCUCAGGACAACCAGAAAAGUCUACAAAGAAACUGAAUCAGAAUACCACUAUACUAGUUUUGUACGCUAACGAAAACAAUCACAAAACCUGCAGAAAAGCUCAGGACAACCAGAAAAGCCUACAAAGAAAUUGACUCUGAAUACCACUAUACUAGUUUUGUACACAGUCAAUUAACAAACAAUGUUAACGACAAAAACUUUCAAUUUAAAUACCAUGUAAUCAAUUAAAAAAUGCUCUUGAAACAUAUGUCAAUAUAUAUACAUAUUUUCUCCUUUUGCUCC